rnacentral:rRNA from 1 species
CCUACGGGAGGCAGCAGUGGGGAAUAUUGCACAAUGGGGGAAACCCUGAUGCAGCGACGCCGCGUGAGUGAAGAAGUAUUUCGGUAUGUAAAGCUCUAUCAGCAGGGAAGAAAAUGACGGUACCUGAUUAAGAAGCCCCGGCUAACUACGAGCCAGCAGCCGCGGUAAUACGUAGGGGGCAAGCGUUAUCCGGAUUUACUGGGUGUAAAGGGAGCGUAGACGGCAGCACAAGUCUGGAGUGAAAUGCCGGGGCUUAACCCCGGAACUGCUUUGGAAACUGUGCAGCUAGAGUGCAGUAGAGGUAAGUGGAAUUCCUGGUGUAGCGGUGGAAUGCGUAGAUAUUAGGAGGAACACCAGUGGCGAAGGCGGCUUACUGGACUGUAACUGACGUUGAGGCUCGAAAGCGUGGGGAGCAAACAGGAUUAGAUACCCCUGUAGUC